rnacentral:ncRNA from 1 species
GCCUUAAAGCUGAUCCAUCUCCCAUUGGUAUUACAGUUUGGACAGUACCCUUACCAAAUGUCUUCAUGCCUAAUAGAAUACCUCUGUUAUAGUCCGCAAUAGCUCCUGCUACUAUUUCAGAAGCACUUGCACUACCUUGAUUAAUUAAAACAAUCAUGGGCAGAUCUAUGGCCCCUAUGUCAGAGACUGUAUUGAAUACUUCAUCAUCUUUAGUUCUGCUUUUUACGGUUACAACUUUACCAUCUUCAAUGAAAUUACUUGCAACCUUAACGGAUUCCUCUAAAAUACCGCCUGGGUUGGAAC